CGUGUAGGCGGCCAGGUAAGUCAGAUGUGAAAGUCCCGGGCUCAACUCGGGAAGUGCAUUUGAAACUGCUUGGCUUGAGUAAGAGAGAGGAAAGUGGAAUUCCUGGUGUAGGGGUGAAAUUCGUAGAUAUCAGGAGGAACACCGGUGGCGAAGGCGGCUUUCUGGCUCUAUACUGACGCUGAGACGCGAAAGCGUGGGUAGCAAACAGGAUUAGAUACCCUGGUAGUCC
rnacentral:rRNA from 1 species